rnacentral:rRNA from 1 species
GACGAACGCUGGCGGCAUGCCUAAUACAUGCAAGUCGAGCGAGCAGAUGAAGUGCUUGCACUUCUGACGUUAGCGGCGAACGGGUGAGUAACACGUAAGGAAUCUACCUAUAAGCGGGGGAUAACAUUCGGAAACGGGCGCUAAUACCGCAUAAUAUCUUCUUCCGCAUGGAAGAAGAUUGAAAGACGGCUCUGCUGUCACUUAUAGAUGACCUUGCGGUGCAUUAGUUAGUUGGUGGGGUAACGGCCUACCAAGACGAUGAUGCAUAGCCGACCUGAGAGGGUGAUCGGCCACAUUGGGACUGAGACACGGCCCAAACUCCUACGGGAGGCAGCAGUAGGGAAUCUUCCGCAAUGGGCGAAAGCCUGACGGAGCAAUGCCGCGUGAGUGAAGAAGGCCUUCGGGUCGUAAAACUCUGUUAUAAGAGAAGAACAAAUUGUAGAGUAACUGCUACAGUCUUGACGGUAUCUUAUCAGAAAGCCACGGCUAACUACGUGCCAGCCGCCGCCGUAA